rnacentral:rRNA from 1 species
GUUUUGAAUUCAUGGCUCAGGAUGAACGCUGGCGGCGUGCCUAAUACAUGCAAGUCGAGCGAAUGAAUUAAGAGCUUGCUCUUAUGAAGUUAGCGGCGGACGGGUGAGUAACACGUGGGUAACCUGCCCAUAAGACUGGGAUAACUCCGGGAAACCGGGGCUAAUACCGGAUAACAUUUUGCGCUGCAUGGUGUGAAAUUGAAAGGCGGCUUCGGCUGUCACUUAUGGAUGGACCCGCGUCGCAUUAGCUAGUUGGUGAGGUAACGGCUCACCAAGGCAACGAUGCGUAGCCGACCUGAGAGGGUGAUCGGCCACACUGGGACUGA